CGGGGUGAGUAAUGUCUGGGAAACUGCCCGAUGGAGGGGGAUAACUACUGGAAACGGUAGCUAAUACCGCAUAACGUCGCAAGACCAAAGAGGGGGACCUUAGGGCCUCUUGCCAUCGGAUGUGCCCAGAUGGGAUUAGCUAGUAGGUGGGGUAAUGGCUCACCUAGGCGACGAUCCCUAGCUGGUCUGAGAGGAUGACCAGCCACACUGGAGCUGAGACACGGUCCAG
rnacentral:rRNA from 1 species